UCUUCUUCUAAAAGCCUUCACUCAUAUUAACACCUUCCUCUGCUUCACCUCUCUCACCUGCAUUCCUUAGCAGGUUGAGAAUUUAGCACAACUUUCUCUGUAACUUUAUCACUUUCACAUCACCAAUGGCCUGCUUAGAACUCUCCAAAGAGGUAAAGUUCAAAGAUGGCACAGAAGAGUUAACUCUUGAUGGAAGUGUUGACUGGCAUGGUCGUCCUGCAAUCAGAGCCAAAUCUGGGAGAUGGGUUGCUGGAACCAUAGUGCUCUUGAACCAAGGUCUGGCAACCUUAGCAUUCUUUGGAGUAGGAGUGAACCUAGUGUUAUUCCUGACAAGAGUGAUGGGGCAGAACAAUGCUGAUGCUGCAAACAGUGUUAGCAAGUGGACUGGCACAGUAUACAUCUUCUCUCUUGUGGGUGCCUUCCUAAGUGACUCUUACUGGGGAAGAUACAAAACUUGUGCCGUCUUUCAGGUCAUUUUUGUGAUAGGCUUGGUGUCCUUGUCCCUUUCAUCGUACCUCUCCUUGAUUAGGCCGAAAGGUUGUGGAAAUGAAACUAUUUCAUGUGGGAAACAUUCAAGCUUGGAGAUGGGGAUGUUCUACCUCUCGAUAUAUCUCAUUGCUUUGGGGAAUGGAGGGUAUCAGCCAAAUAUUGCCACAUUUGGAGCUGACCAGUUUGACGAGGAGCACUCAAAGGAGGGUUAUUCAAAGGUUGCCUUCUUUAGCUACUUCUACUUGGCUUUGAACCUUGGUUCACUCUUCUCAAACACAAUUCUAGGAUACUUUGAAGAUGAAGGAUUGUGGGCACUUGGGUUCUGGGCGUCUGCGGGUUCUGCUUUUGCUGCCCUUGUUUUAUUUCUUCUUGGGACCCCAAGAUAUAGACACUUCAAACCCAGUGGCAAUCCUCUUUCAAGGUUCGGCCAAGUCCUUGUUGCUGCAUUAAGGAAAUGGGGAGCUCAUACGACAUCAAAUGAAGAGGAUCUAUAUGUCAUGGAUGAAAAUGAAUCUCCCACUAAUGGCAACCGAAAGAUUCUUCACACCGACGGAUUCAAGUUUCUGGACAGAGCAGCAUUUAUAUCUACCAGAGAUCUAGAAGACCAAAAAAGAGGCCUUUAUAACCCCUGGCGUCUCUGUCCUAUAACUCAAGUUGAAGAAGUGAAGUGUAUACUAAGACUUCUUCCAAUUUGGCUCUGCACCAUAAUCUACUCAGUGGUUUUCACACAAAUGGCUUCUCUUUUUGUAGAACAAGGAGCUGCCAUGAAAACUACAAUUUCCCAUUUUAGAAUACCACCUGCAAGCAUGUCUAGCUUUGACAUCCUCAGCGUAGCUAUCUUCAUUUUCUUCUACCGUAGAGUGAUUGAUCCACUAGUGGGACGACUUAAAAAGACAAGUUCCAAGGGUCUUACUGAGCUUCAGAGAAUGGGAAUUGGGCUUGUUAUAGCUGUAAUGGCAAUGGUUUCAGCUGGAAUAGUUGAAUGCUACAGGCUUAAAUAUGCAAAAUCAGGAUGCCCCCACUGCAGUGGGACAAGCUCUCUAAGCAUCUUUUGGCAAAUUCCUCAAUAUGCACUUAUCGGAGCUUCUGAAGUUUUUAUGUAUGUAGGCCAGCUAGAGUUCUUCAAUGCUCAAACACCAGAUGGUUUAAAAAGCUUUGGAAGUGCCCUUUGCAUGACGUCCAUCUCUCUUGGGAACUAUGUAAGUAGCUUAAUUGUUAGUAUCGUUAUGAAGAUCUCCACCGAGGAUCACAUGCCAGGGUGGAUCCCUGGAAACUUAAACAGAGGUCACCUAGAUAGGUUUUACUUCCUCUUAGCUGCCUUGACAUCAAUAGACUUGAUCGUUUAUAUUGUAUGUGCAAAGUGGUUCAAGAGUAUACAGCUGGAAGGGAAAUACGAAGAGCAUGAUAUGCCUGGUAGCUAUAAAGUAUAAUUUGCGAUGAACAACCAACAAAGGCUACGAUAACAGCAUAUAUAAAUAAGAGAAAGAAGGGAUCAACUAGUCAAAUUAACUUGAGCUAUAGUUGCUCUCGGAAGAAAAAGUGGCUGGCUUCGGUUAGAGAAGCCCUUUUACCCGAGUCUCUUAUAACUAGUCAUUGUUUUCGUUUCAGCUAACGGUUUGUUUGGUUUGAGAAAACCUUUUUGUUUUCAUAUUUGUUUAUGCAAAUAAUUACUUAGAUGUUACCUUCUCUCCAUUUGUAUCCUUGCUUUCAAAAUUUUGUAUGGCAACCAGCUCUUGUACAAAAUUUUGAAAUCUAAAUAAAGUGGAAAUAAGGUAUCAUUUUUGUAAAUAUUUAUGAAACUGAACAUGAAAACAAUAAUCUUUUCACAAACCAAACAAAGUCCUAUAUUUUCAGUUUAUGUUUUUUAUGCAGGUUGUGUAAAACUAGAGUUUUUGAAGAGACAAUGACAGUUUCAGGGUCACUCUAAGUCUCCUUUCUUUGAGUCUUUCUAUUUACAGAUCCUACCUACUGUAUGUCUCUCCUCCCAGCACUAAGACAUGUUUUUAGCAUUCAUGCUUAAAGGUGGAACAGGACAAACGUUGCAAUCAUGGGCAAUCCCGUAAGUAAAAAACGAAGGGAUUUCUUAUACAUCCUAAUUUAGAUGAGUGACUGCAUGGCAUAGACAGAAUAACUUAUAAACAAUCAUUCCUAUUAAAAAAAUCAAGAGUCUGGUGUAAAGAUAUAGGAGAGAGUCAUUACAUGUAAUCUUUCACUUUAAUAUGUAAAAAUAUUGUUUCUAGAUUUA